rnacentral:rRNA from 1 species
AGUGAACGCUGGCGGUAGGCCUAACACAUGCCAGUCGAACGGCAGCACAGUAAGAGCUUGCUCUUACGGGUGGCGAGUGGCGGACGGGUGAGGAAUACAUCGGAAUCUACUUUUUCGUGGGGGAUAACGUAGGGAAACUUACGCUAAUACCGCAUACGACCUACGGGUGAAAGCAGGGGAUCUUCGGACCUUGCGCGAUUGAAUGAGCCGAUGUCGGAUUAGCUAGUUGGCGGGGUAAAGGCCCACCAAGGCGACGAUCCGUAGCUGGUCUGAGAGGAUGAUCAGCCACACUGGAACUGAGACACGGUCCAGACUCCUACGGGAGGCAGCAGUGGGGAAUAUUGGACAAUGGGCGCAAGCCUGAUCCAGCUAUACCGCGUGGGUGAAGGAGGCCUUCGGGUUGUAAAGCCCUUUUGUUGGGAAAGAAAAGCAGCAGGUUAAUACCCCGCUGUUCUGACGGUACCCAAAGAAUAAGCACCGGCUAACUUCGUG